UUGCUGUUAAUCAGCCUAACACAUGUCAGUCGAGCGGAUAGAAGAGCUUGCUCUUCGAUUCAGCGGCGGACGUGGUGAGUAAUGCCUAGGAAUCUGCCUGGUAGUGGGUGUGACACGUUCGAAAGUGAACGCUAAUACCUGCAUACGUCCUACGUGGAGAAAUGCAGUGGUGACCUUCGUGGCCUUGCGCUAUCAGAUGAGCCUAGGUCGGAUUAGCUAGUUGGUGAGUGUAAUGGCUCACCAANGCGACGAUCCGUAACUGGUCUGAGAGUGAUGAUCAGUCACACUGGAACUGAGACACGGUCCAGACUCCUACGUGGAGGCAGCAGUGGGGAAUAUUGGACAAUGGGCGAAAGCCUGAUCCAGCCAUGCCGCGUGUGUAGAAGAAGGUCCUCGGAUUGUAAAGCACUUUAAGUUGGGAGGAAGGGUUGUACGUUAAUACCGUGCAAUUUUGACGUUACCGACUGAAUAAGCACCGGCUAACUCUGUGCCAGCAGCCGCGGUAUACAGAGGGUGCAAGCGUUAAUCGGAAUUACUGGGCGUAAAGCGCGCGUAGGUGGUUCGAUAAGUUGGAUGUGAAAUCCCGGGCUCAACCUGGUGAAACUUGCAUCCAAACUUGGCGAAGCUAGAGUAUGG
rnacentral:rRNA from 1 species